GUCGAGUUGGCCUUCGAUCUCCUGAAUCUUUUGUAAGGCCUUUCCAGGAAGGCCAUCCUUCCACUCUUCCACAGCCCAACUCAUGAUUACCGAAGAUGCUUUUGCUCCUCACAAAUACACUGGCAUGCUCUGAAAAAAGUUUUUAACCCCUCACGGUUAUUCCGCAGUUACUUUCGGGUGUUCUUCUGUUACUGAGGUCGAAAUUUCAAACAAGGUUCAACGUUGUUGUCGACUUGAACGCAGCGCGGCUAUUGGUGCCUUUUGCGCAUGACGUAAAACAAAGCGAACUCUGAUUGGAUAUUCGUGUGCAUUCGAAUUAAACUCCACCCAUUGUAUUCUCCUCAUGAUUCCGAAACGGCCUACGUGUUCUGCUGGGAAAUGAAUGGCAACAUACUGCUUCUGUGAGGACUUGCCAAACACGUGCUGCUUUGGGUCAUGGCAGAUGGAAUGAGAGAGCCAUACAUGGAUUUCAUCACCAUGGUUACUGCCAAGGAUACCUAACACUGAUUUGUUGAAAGAUUAACAAUAAUAGAAGACUAUUACUUGUUGGAUGUAUUCAGUGAUGGCGUUAUUAUUGUAAUAAGAAUGAAGCAUUUUUAAUUCCACUAAG